AGCUAUAGCAGUAUAGCUGUAUUAAUAUUAGUAUAGAUCUAGUCACUAUACUGACUAUAGUCAAUAGUGUAUGUAUUGCCUGUAGAUCUAGUACCUGUAGGCUACUAAUAUUAGUAGAUGUAGAUCUAUAAUAACAAUACUUUUAAUUACUUUUUAAUAGUAAAAAGUAGAUUUAUAAUCUAUCAAUUCUAUCUAAUCUAGAUCUAAAUCUAGACUUCACUUUCACUAGUUUCACAUCACAUGAUUAUUGAUACAGACAGUGAAUGAAACGAAUGCAGUGAUUAUAUUAUAGUUUAUACUGAUUAUACUUAUAGCUCUAGGAGCCUCUACCAGUUGAUUAUCAUCAUCAUAAUAGAUAAUAAUCUAGACUAGUAUUCUAGAUCUAUAAAUAAUCAUAGUCACCGUGAUAGUGCCCUUUUUAGUCAAUGUAGUCAAGUCAAGAUAGUGGAACGUAAACUCGAAGGUUUAAUACAAUACAGUAUAAGUAGAGUCUAUGAUUAUUUUCAAGUAGAACCAUGCCAACCAGUUCUGAUGAUGUACCAGAAUGGCUCAAGGAUCAUACUUAUACUAUUUCAACUCUCUGGGCAUCCAUUCAAUAUUUAAUUUAUGUUUGGAAAUGUAAGAAAAAGGCAUGCAUUCCUGACAAGUCAAUGAUUGGUUGCACCUCUUAAAGAUAACUUUCUGUUAUGAGAAAAGAUGAGAUUCUUGGACUCCUGCAUAGCACCACCAGAAAGGAAAAUCCCAUCAUGUUGCAAAAUAAAAGUCUUGGACCAAUUUUAAUUUAAGAUAUAUAUAUUAUGCUGUAAGCUCUAUACACAUUUAUGUAUAUCCUGUCAUUCAGCCAACAGGUUUGGAUUUAGUAUUUCUUUAAAUCUGUUUGAUAUUGUACUUGAAAACUAUUAAUCUGAGCCCCAUUAAAACAAUAGGGAGUGCAGUGAAGUGGUAAAGCACUUGGCUUCUGAACUGAGGGUUCCUGGGUUCGAUUAAGACUGGGAUUUUCAAUUUCAGAAUUCAAAAGGCUAGGGAUACAUGGCAAUAGUAAGGAAUAAGUAAAGGCAGUUUGGGGAUCCAUGGCUGAAUGGUUAAGUCAUGGGUUUGAAUCUCUGUGAAGACUCAGAUUUAAAUUUUUUAGAUUUUUGGGUGCCCCUGAGUCCACCUAACUCUAAUGGGUAGCUGACUUUUGUUUAGGAAAAUAAAGAUGGUUGGUUGUUGUGCUGGCGACAUGAUGCACUGGCCAAAGAAUCAAAUGACCUUAACAUCAUCUGCCCUAUAGAUUGUGAGGUCUGAAAUGGGAUUUUUUUUCAAAAGGUGGUUGGUCGUUGUGCUGGGUACAUGACACCCUCGCUAACCAUGGGGCACAGAAACUGAUAAACUUUAUAUCAUCUGCCCCAUAGAUUGCAAGAUAUGUAAGGGAAAUUUUACUUUUUAAAAAUUAAAAUAAGAAUCUAUCAAAAGUAAACAUAAAAUAUGGUGCAUUCUCCUUAAAACUAAAACCUGGUGCAAAGGUUUAAAAUGUUGGCAAAAAAAAGCAACAUCAUAUAUUCUUAAUUCCCUUUGCAAAACUUACUGAGAAGAACAUGCAUGUUGUUCCCUCAUAAGUUUCUUGACAGAGGAAAUCUUGUUUAUAUUAGAUUUGAAUUAAGCAAAUUAAGAAAAAAAAUUAUAAUCAUUAUUUCAAAUGGUUGUAUCUAAACCUUAAAUGAAUUAUUUUUCAGUUAUAAGUACAUUGAGAUUAAUGGAUAAUCAUGAAAUUGUUAAAUAAUUGCUGCUAUCAUUCCAUUGACUAAAGAACCAUAAUUUUUUUUUUUUUUUAAUUAAUUUCAAAAUGAUUUUUUUCAAGCAUAGAGUUCACAUAGGUCUUGAGUGAAUUUUUUUUUAUUUGACUAACGCUUCAAUUUUAUUGUAUCAUAUUAGUUGUUAAUUUUUAUUACCCAGAAUAUUUAAAAAAUGAGUACACUAUUUUCAUGUAAUAAUGUAACUUGGUAUUCACACAAUGCUCAAAAUACACUAUAAUCUUUAGGCCAUACAGAUUUGUAUAAAUUAACUUGUUUAAAUACAUUGUAAAUGUAUAUUGUUUGGAUAAGAAUAAAGUUUUUCUGUAGACAAUUAUUGUUCAAGAUUUGUUGAUGCUCCUGCUUAAUCAAUUAUAUAUACAGGUCAUUAGUUUUAACACGUCUGAUAAUAAAUGACAGUACAAGUUA